rnacentral:rRNA from 1 species
UACAGAGGGUGCAAGCGUUGUUCGGAAUUAUUGGGCGUAAAGCGCGUGUAGGCGGCAGUGCAAGUCGGGUGUGAAAGCCCUCAGCUCAACUGAGGAAGUGCGCUCGAAACUGCAUUGCUUGAGUACCGGAGAGGAUGGCGGAAUUCCCGAAGUAGAGGUGAAAUUCGUAGAUAUCGGGAGGAACACCGGUGGCGAAGGCGGCCAUCUGGACGGAUACUGACGCUGAGACGCGAAAGCGUGGGGAGCGAACAGG